rnacentral:lncRNA from 1 species
AUGACAGUCAGAGCUGCUGACGAAGUUGCUAGAGAGAAAGAGUUCUUCAAUUUAGAAUUCUGCUAUUUCUUGGCUUGGCUCACUGUCAGCCCAUUUCCAAAAAAAUCUUUGCAACAUGGAAGAAUUUUCCUGGAGAAAUUUUCAGCUGCUACAAGGAAAACAGAUUGAAGAGUUCAUGAAAAUAUAGUUCUCUUGGUCCUACCACCUUCUCCAUCAUCGCCAAGUGCCUCCAAACUACUUUCUGUGCCUUAAAUCCCACUGACAGUGGUGAUGUGCUCCCAGUGACCAUAGCAAGAAGUCCUGGAUCCUGGCCUCUACCAGGUCAGCUCUCGCAGCAGCUUAGGGCAGCAUCCAGAUGGCUGCAGACACACAUGUGUGGUUACAGGGUUCCUUCUGAGGAUUAGCAAAGGGUACGGUGUGGCUCUUUUCAAAUAUUUGAACUGUUCGGCAAAGAAAUUGCAGAAAACAAUAGAAAAUACCAAAUUAGAAAAUACCAAACCCAAGGAAGUCAUGCGCAUAUCUGGGUGUAUCAGGUAAGCUGGCAUUGCAGUUACAAUCUGCAGUUAUUUCCUAAGCAAACAACCCUUGCGUUACCUAUUUGUUCUGUACUUGGUUUUCAGUUAUUGACUUGCAUUUGAAAUAUGGCAAUUAAAGUAAUUUUCACAUAUGUUCAUAGGACUUUC